GCAUUAAUGGGGUAGUGGUAACCUGGGUCGUUGCCAUCCAUUGUGCUGUUUAAAUUCUUUCGACCCGCCGGGGGUUCGAUUCCCCCUUAAUGCA